UGAAGCGGGCUGAGAUGGGAGUAGGAGAGUGAGGGAGGAGGACAGGGGACAUGGGGUUCGGGAAAGAGAAGCUGUUUGUGAAAGGGAAGGUGAAGCUGUUUCAUAUUAUAUUAUAUUUGUAUAAUAGAAUGUGCUUUGUGUUUCAUGGUUGUAUGCUUUCGGUUGGUUCGUUGGUGAUUGAUUUUCUCUUUUUUUUUUUUUUUUUUUUUUGGGUUUAAUUUUUCAGUCUGAUUUUUUCGUUUCUUUUCGUUUUUUUUUUCCGGUAAUUUGUGGGUCGUCGUCGGAGGUCAUCGAAUCGGAGUUGGCUAUCGGUCCAAGCCAACGGGGAGGAAUGGAUUAUGGAGGAGCAGAGGCAUGACAAUGGAAAUUUACUUUUGGGAGGAGACGCUGGACUUUGUUUUACCAUUAUUCCAAACGAGGAGGUUGAAAGGUUUAUACCGCAGAUAUACAUUGGGUUCUACCAUUGAUGACCAACAACAAGGAUCUUGAGUUUGAUAAUUAUUGUUUCGCUUAAGAGAUGGAGCCAUUCCUAGGCAAACAGGGGAUUCACGUCCUUUUAAAUAAAGCCUUACAAAAUUGGUACUUAGGCACAGAGGAUAUGGCUGGGAAGCAAACUCCAAUAUUAAAGUCCCCAGUCCUUUGCUUCAAUGUUGCUCUCAUUAAACUCUCCCUCAAUUCAUUCCUUUCCUUCCAUAACUCCUACCAGUUUCAUUACAUGCCUGAGACCUCCUUUGUCACCUCACUUGACCAUUUCCUACUUACUCACAAGGCUUAUUCACCUCUUAUGGAGACCAAAGUAAGCGUCCAGGAGCUUGAAGAUCUAGUUUUGAAGAGUAAAAACCAGAGGCUGUAUGAGGAGCAUUACUACCAUAUCAGUGUGCUGAUUAUGUUUGCGUCUAUGAGAUGCCAAGCAAGUUUACAUAUGAUCUUUAUGGAUGUUCAGAAAAAUCUACAGACAGACCUCCACUCUCAACUCUAAAUGGAAGUCCUGUGCACUCCCUCAUCGGGCGGGAGAUGCUGGACUUUGUUUUUAGCAUUAUGGCAAAAAUGGAGGUUGGAAGUUCCCUUAUGAGAUGGAGCAAUUCCUAGGCAAACAGGGGAUGCCAGUUCUUUUAAAUAAACCUAGGCAUCUGCUUACUCUUGCUGUUGUGCAGCCGCUGUUAGUUUCAGAGUUGAUGUCAAUGGUUUCUUGGAGAAGCACAACUAUUGAUGACUUUUUUAAUGUUAAUAUUACAGCCUUGCAAACUCCAAGAUCAAAGUCCCCAGUCCUAUUGCUCUCAUUACUCUCUCCCUUGUUUUCUUCUCUUUUUUUCCAUAACCCCAACUAGUUUCCUGACCCCAAUUCCAUCCCAAAGCUCAAUUAUACAUGCCUGAGACCUCCUUUGUGACAUCACUUGACCAUUUCGUUCUCAAUCACAAGGCUUCUCCACUUCCUACGGAGACCAAAAUAAAUAUGUGCAGUAGCUUGAAGACCUGGUUUGGAAGAGUGAAAACCAGAGGCUGUUAAGGAGCCUUACUACCCUAUCAGCAUGCCAAUUAGAGUUUAUGUCUAUCAGAUUCCAAGCAAGUUUACAUAUUAUCUUCUAUGGCUGUUCAGAAUCACUUGUGCACCACCUCCUCGAGUAGGGAGGAAGAUCUAUGCAAACUCAGAAUGGAACUAAGUGGUGCUGAGUGUGUGCUGACAGAGUAAUGCUCAGCUGGAGAUGGAGAAAAAGCAACAGCUCAGAAUGGAAUGCGCUAGUAAAAUAGUUCAGACUACUAUGUGUUGCAAUGCGGUUAUCUUUCACUUUUGUCACAAGAAGUUGAGUUUCGUCUUCUACUAUUAGGUCUACCUUUUGCCCAAGCGUUGCUGAUGAUACUCGAUUGUUUGAUGCUAUUUGUUAUUAGAUGUAGUAAGUGAUGAACUGGAGCUUCCUUUCAUCUUCUUGCAAUGGUUGAAGUACUUUGUAUACUCCUGUCUAGCUCAGCUGUUGGGUCCUACCACUUACAAUGAAAGGCUUGAUGAUAAACCCAUUAGGUCGACCUAAUGAAGCCUCAUUAUGUAUAUAUGUAUAGAUAUAUUGGUGAUUGCUUGGCUAAAUGU